CUGCAACUCGCCUGCAUGAAGCUGGAAUUGCUAGUAAUCGCGGAUCAGCAAGCCGCGGUGAAUACGUUCCCGGGCCUUGUACACACCGCCCGUCACACCAUGAGAGUCGGGAACACCCGAAGUCCGUAGUCUAACCGCAAGGGGGCGCGGCCGAAGGUGGGUCCGGUAAUUGGGGUGAAGUCGUAACAAGGUAGC
rnacentral:rRNA from 1 species